GAUGAAGAACGUAGCGAAAUGCGAUAAGUAAUGUGAAUUGCAGAAUUCAGUGAAUCAUCGAAUCUUUGAACGCACAUUGCGCCCUCUGGUAUUCCGGGGGGCAUGCCUGUUCGAGCGUCAUUAUAACCACUCAAGCUCUCGCUUGGUAUUGGGGUUCGCGGUUCCGCGGCCCCUAAAAUCAGUGGCGGUGCCUGUCGGCUCUACGCGUAGUAAUACUCCUCGCGAUUGAGUCCGGUAGGUCUACUUGCCAGCAACCCCCAAUUUUUACAGGUUGACCUCGGAUCAGGUAGGGAUACCCGCUGAACUUAAGCAUAUCAAUAAUCGGAGGA
rnacentral:misc_RNA from 1 species